UAGAUGAUGAAUAUUUUACCAGGCUGCAAAUACGAAAAAAAUUUAACUACAGCCACAGAUUACACCAUUUAUUUAUUUGGGUAUCACUUUUCAAUAUUACGCACACAAACAAUCAAAGAUGAGUUCAACAACAAUAAAGAGAACAAUGGUAUGUUAAAAUAAACACUAAAACAAAAGUUAAUAAAUACGAGUCAAAAUAUACGAACUAUUCUAGAUUUAAUGGUGAAAGAACAUCUGUUGUGUGCACUGGUCGUUGGAUUUUUAGAAAUGGGUGCUGGUCUUGUGGUUAUAUUUGGAGCGCUAAUAUUCUCUGCAUUUUGGUCGUAUAAAUUCUUUAACGCUAUUUAUACUGCAACAAAACGUAACAUGACUUCAACGACGUACAGUACAGUACCCGUUACAACAGCUAUACCUUUUAGAAGAGAAUACAUAGAGUAUAUUGACUAAUUAUACUCUAGGAAAGAGUACCUUAUUUGUUUUGUGGAUUAUACAAUCACAAUGGACAAUUCCUACUAACUGGUGUAAUGGUGUUCAGCUUAUAUUUAAUACUACAUCAGGCGAAAAGGAGCAUGCUUUCUGAUGAUGACUAUUCAUGGGACAAUGAAGACACUAACUGGUUUGUUAAUACCACUACUGAAAUUACGCAGAAGAUACUCAAGAUAAACCAAGCUUAAAUACAAAAAUUAAAUGUAGGUAUUAAUAAGCCAAUAACUAUAUAAACGAAAUGAUAAUAAUCUAAAGAAAAAAAUGGAUUAAUUAAUAAUUUUAACUAUAAAAUAGCAUGUAGCUUAUUUCUAUUAUUAAAUUCAGAAAUGCAAUAAAACUCAUUGAUUUAAUUAUGUUUUAUUUUUCUUACAUCAGAGCCAUAUUAGCCCGUUCUGUUAAUUACAUUGGAAUUCCAGUGCCACAAUUUGAAAAAAGCACCGAAAUAUGCAAUUUUAUCCUUUUUUUUGUCAUAUUUCCACGAGUAAAUAAUUAUUUUUAUAUCGCCUUGUACUUUAAGUAUUUGCCUGCACCAUAGACUAAAAAAUCUAUAUGGAUUACUUACAACAAGUCAAUUGUUGUGCAUAUAGAUUUACUUCUUUCUGUAUAUUCUUAUAUUAUUUUUGUCAAUUAUCAUGUAAAAUAUUUAAGGACACAAUAUAUAAAGAAAACAGUCACAUUUUAAGCAAAAAAUAAUUUGCACAAAGCAAUAUCAGCACGCCAAUAUGGGCUUAUAAUUUCCAAAAGUAGUUGCUGUAUCUAAAAAUAAUUAAAUGGCUUCAAUUUUUGCCAAUUCAUCUGUGUUGUUUGGAAUAAAAUGUAUUAAUAUUUAUAUUUAAUGUAGAACAGCAUCGUAAGAGUAUAACGCAUAUUUAAAUAAAGCUAUGUGAUAUUUAGGCUCCCCCUUAACCAUGAUUAUUA